GACGAACGCUGGCGGCGUGCUUAACACAUGCAAGUCGAACGGAAAGGCCCUGCUUUUGUGGGGUGCUCGAGUGGCGAACGGGUGAGUAACACGUGAGUAACCUGCCCUUGACUUUGGGAUAACUUCAGGAAACUGGGGCUAAUACCGGAUAGGAGCUCCUGCUGCAUGGUGGGGGUUGGAAAGUUUCGGCGGUUGGGGAUGGACUCGCGGCUUAUCAGCUUGUUGGUGGGGUAGUGGCUUACCAAGGCUUUGACGGGUAGCCGGCCUGAGAGGGUGACCGGCCACAUUGGGACUGAGAUACGGCCCAGACUGCUACGGGAGGCAGCAGUGGGGAAUAUUGCACAAUGGGCGGAAGCCUGAGGCAGCAACGCCGCGUGCGGGAUGACGGCCUUCGGGUGGGAAACCGCUUUCGCCUGUGACGAAGCGUGAGUGACGGUAAUGGGUAAAGAAGCACCGGCUAACUACGUG
rnacentral:rRNA from 1 species